GACGAACGCUGGCGGCGUGCUUAACACAUGCAAGUCGAACGGAAAGGCCCUGCUUUUGUGGGGUGCUCGAGUGGCGUACGGGUGAGUAACACGUGAGUAACCUGCCCUUGACUUUGGGAUAACUUCAGGAAACUGGGGCUAAUACCGGAUAGGAGCUCCUGCUGCAUGGUGGGGGUUGGAAAGUUUCGGCGGUUGGGGAUGGACUCGCGGCUUAUCAGCUUGUUGGUGGGGUAGUGGCUUACCAAGGCUUUGACGGGUAGCUGGCCUGAGAGGGUGACCGGCCACAUUGGGACUGAGAUACGGCCCAGACUCCUACGGGAGGCAGCAGUGGGGAAUAUUGCACAAUGGGCGGAAGCCUGAUGCAGCAACGCCGCGUGCGGGAUGACGGCCUUCGGGUUGUAAACCGCUUUCGCCUGUGACGAAGCGUGAGUGACGGUAAUGGGUAAAGAAGCACCGGCUAACUACGUG
rnacentral:rRNA from 1 species